GGGGCUUAUUCGGUGAUUUAUUUUCUGCUUAUUCGGUGAUUUAUUUUCAGCAUUGUUACACUGUUUCGAAAUGUCGCUGAGGGGACAAUUAUUGAUAUUGGUUUGCAUGAAGUAUAAGAGCAAGAUUGUUGCUAUAGCUCUUGCUGCCACUAUUGUUUCUGACAAGCCUUGUUCCCGGAAUAUUCUCGUACCAUUAAAUUCAAAAACUUUAUCUUAAGGAUUUACCGUCAUAGCUUGCUUCAAGUUGGUCAGGUAAUUUACCUACCGGAUCUACAGUUGCUUCAAUUUGGUCAGAACGCUGCAUUUGACUUACUCCUGGAGUCCCUUGUUGUGAGGGGCCAACAUCAAGAGAGCUCAGAGCUGCCCCCACAAAGAUGCCACAUUGGGUCCACAUUUAUGCCAAAGCUCCAAGAGAAUUUUUUGGCUACAGAAUUAUUUUUUCCACACUUCCAAGGUGCACAUUCAUCUUGUGACUAGACCUAUGUGAUGAUGGAAGUCGGCAUUCCAUCUGUAGAACCUUCGCAUUCUAUCAUUGGACUGCUGUUGAACAAUCUCAACCAAACGAGGAGGCUUGGCCUGUCCAGAUGCUUUUAUGUGCCUCGGUGAUGCAGAAGUAACAGACCACCUCUGCCUCUACUGCCCGUAUAUACACCAAAGACGGCAUGUUCCCCUUAAGGAUGAUACUCCCUCCGUUCCAUUUUACCCGUCCCAAAUUUCCUAAUUUGAUGUCCCAUUUUACUUUUCCUACUUUACUUAUCAAGACAAAACAAUUUUUCCGCCCCAUUAUACCUUAGUGUAAUUGAUUACUCUUUGUUAUUACAUUCUUGAAAGAAGAGUACCAUUAAAAAUAUAAAUGGUGUUUUGGUAUUAGUCAUCCAUCAAUAUUGGAACUAACAACAAGACACAAUUAAGAGGGGCAAAAUGGUAAAGUUACAUUACCAAUCAUUGUUUUCUUAAUAGCUGUAUCAUCCUAAUUUGGAACGAGUAAAAUGAGACGGAGGGAGUAUUAGACAUGUGACAUAACACACAUAGGACGCCAUGUAAGACAAGAAAUGGCCACGUAGGACGUGUAUACAAAUUUAAGUGGCUACUUGUGCACAUCCAAAAUUGGAGGUGAUGUAAUUUGAGGCCAAGUUAAAAGGCAUGUUUAUGUAUUGUUGCAUCUUUAUGCCUUCUCCCUAAAAGUUUGUUUGCAACUAUUUCACAAAACUGGAUGGUUUGAUAAUAAAAAGAUUAUUACAAGAAGUCUUGAGUAAGGAAGCUAGAAUUGAAAAACACGGUAGAAUACUUUGUAUUAAUUAUAUAGUAACCCUCUUAGCAUAAUAUCAUACGAGACACUUAUCAAUUAUUGCUAUGGCCUAACACAUAGAGCUUAAUAAAAGUGGUCUCAUCAACUU